UACGUAGGGUGCAAGCGUUGCUCGGAAUUACUGGGCGUAAAGCGCACGUAGGCGGAUUGUUAAGUCGGGGGUGAAAUCCUGGAGCUCAACUCCAGAACUGCCUUCGAUACUGGCGAUCUCGAGUUCGGGAGAGGUGAGUGGAACUGCGAGUGUAGAGGUGAAAUUCGUAGAUAUUCGCAAGAACACCAGUGGCGAAGGCGGCUCACUGGCCCGAUACUGACGCUGAGGUGCGAAAGCGUGGGGAGCAAACAGG
rnacentral:rRNA from 1 species